UAAGACAUGCAAGUUGAGCGAUGAACUGACGAUAGCAAUAUUUGACGGGAUUAGCAGCGAACGGGUGAGUAACACGUAGGAAUCUGCCCCAGGGAUCGGGAUAGCCUGGCGAAAGUCAGGGUAAUACCGGAUAAGAUCUAAGGAUUAAAGGCGCGAGCCGCUCUGGGAUGAGCCUGCGUUCCAUCAGCUUGUUGGUAGGGUAAAAGCCUACCAAGGCAAAGACGGAUAGCUGGUCUGAGAGGACGGUCAGCCACACUGGAACUGAGACACGGUCCAGACACCUACGGGUGGCAGCAGUCGAGAAUCAUUCACAAUGGACGAAAGUCUGAUGGUGCGACGCCGCGUGGGGGAUGAAGGCCUUAGGGUCGUAAACCCCUGUCGGUUGCGAGUAAGGCCUAGCUUACGCUAGGAUUGAUAUUAGCAACAAAGGAAGGGACGGCUAACUCCGUGCCAGCAGCCGCGGUAAUACGGAGGUCCCAAGCGUUGUUCGGAUUUACUGGGCGUAAAGCGUGCGUAGGCGGCGAAAUAAGUUUGGCGUGAAAUCCCCGGGCCCAACCCGGGAAUUGCGCUGAAAACUGUUUUGCUAGAGGAUUGGAGGGGAGACUGGAAUUCCUGGUGUAGCAGUGAAAUGCGUAGAUAUCAGGAGGAACACCGGUGGCGAAGGCGAGUCUCUGGACAAUUCCUGACGCUGAGGUACGAAGGCUAGGGUAGCGAAGAGGAUUAGAUACCCUCGUAGUCCUAGCAGUAAACGGUGUGCACUUGCUGUGGGAGGAUUCGACCCCUUCCGUGGCGAAGCUAACGCAUUAAGUGCACCGCCUGGGGAGUACG
rnacentral:rRNA from 1 species